rnacentral:rRNA from 1 species
AUUGAACGCUGGCGGCGUGCUUAACACAUGCAAGUCGAGCGGUAACAGGCGUAGCAAUACGUGCUGACGAGCGGCGAACGGGUGCGUAAUACAUGGGAAUCUGCCUAGUAGUGGGGAAUAACCCGGCGAAAGCCGGGCUAAUGCCGCAUACGAUCCACGGAUGAAAGCGGGGGACCUUCGGCCUCGCGCUAUUAGAUGAGCCCAUGUCGGAUUAGCUAGNGGUGAGGUAACGGCUCACCAAGGCGACGAUCCGUAGCUGGUCUGAGAGGACGGCCAGCCACACUGGGACUGAGACACGGCCCAGACUCCUACGGGAGGCAGCAGNGGGAAUCUUGCGCAAUGGGCGAAAGCCUGACGCAGCGACGCCGCGUGAGGGAUGACGGCCUGGU